UUAGUAUGUUUAUUGAAAUUUGUGUAAACCAUAAUAAUACUACAGAUUAAUCAAUAUACAUUUUUAUGAUGUUCAUAUUUAGGUGCAAUGAUAAGAGUUAAUAUAGUCAAUAUUACAUAUAAAAUGACUAGAAUGACACCAUAACCUACAUGAGUAACACAUGUCAAUGCUGUUCAAGUCUACUUUGUUUUAUCUGUGAAAAUUCUGAGUGAAAUUCCUUGAAUGCUCAGUAAUGGUGGUGGCCCCUGUACUAAAUUUAAAUUUUAAAAUUCGGGUGCCAGACACAUUUAGGCCUGUCAAAAUGAAUACCUUGCCCCAGAUAGCUCUAAAAGCCACCAAUUACAUGCAAUAAAACGAUAACAAAAUAAAAGUGUAUCAAAUUUCAAAGCACAUGUUUAUUAUUCAAAUAACAAAAGAAAACAGUAAACAAAGGCAAGGAGUCAAAGACUCAAACAAAAUAUAUAAAUCCCAACAGAACAAAACAUCCAACAAUUAUUAAUUAUUCAAGUGUGUGUAGGAAAAAGUUAAAGGCAGGAAAGUUUGUGAAUGCGCACACUGGUUCACUGAGAGUUUGUACCAGUUUGGUGACUGUGGGCAAUAUUGCAGGACACAGAGCGGGAGUCCAACACAAGGGAAUAAAAAAGAUAGGUCAGAAGAAUCAAGAAGUAUGAAGAAUGCAAGAAGUGCAAAUCAACAGCUUUGAAAAAAAUCCAGGCCUCACUCUCUGGUGAGAAGCACCAUCAGAUAUGUCAGAUUAAACUGACACUUCCUACAGCCCUUGACAAAAUGUUCUCCACAUCAGUCCACAUUGUUGGACAGACUGCAACUUUGUUGAGUCUUUUAAAUGUUUUGUAGACUCCCACAUGGUUACUCACUGUGUUAACAUGAUAGUACUGAAUGACUCGUGGAAUGAGGUGUGCAGCAAUGUGAACCCGGUGCUUAGAAACAUCGGUCCUUGGUGGUCGAAAUGUACACCCCUGUGAGUUGGUCUCUUGGUGGUGGCAUGACUGAUGACUGGAUGGUUGUGCAGUGGAGGAAUACAGCUUAGAAGCUAGAGGUUCUGGUUGGAACUCGUUACGCUGGUGGACUGAUAAUGGAAUGGUGGCAAAAGCUGAAGUCAAGUGUGGGCAAUUCCCUGGUGAGAGUGGUUGUAGGUUCUUUUGAGAGUUCACCAGGUGAGCUUUGAUGUCCCGAUGAAUCUCCAAUUGGAACUACUUUAGCAUCACAUCCACAUCUAACAACAAGGUAUCCUUGACUAUUCAGUUCAUUUGAAAAUUAUAAAUUUUACCUCUGUCAUGAGUUUGUCCAUUUCUGAUUUCAAUGUUGGAAGUGUUCCACUUAAGUCUUCCUGUAAGAUGGCAGAUGAAACCUUGGCCACAGACUGGGUAGGAGUAUGGAGAUAGGUAUGUGAAGAUUUGAAGACAACUGAUGUCAAACAGGUGACUGUUGCAUCUUGGAGCUUCAAUCAUCAUACAAGUGGAUGUAGGGCUGGGAAUGGACAUGUUCAAUUUUGGGUUUGUGUUAGGGGAUGAACUGUUUAACAUUACAACACACUUCCAACACCACUUUUACAACUGUCCUACGAAGUUGCUUUUUUCCACAGAGCAAAUUAUGGUAUUUUUUUUUUAAGUUCAGUCCAUCAACCCACUGGUUUUAAGUGUUAGAUAUCUCCCACAGUUUUUCUAAAGCCAAACAAACAGAUUUCUUGGUUAAAUUUAAAUUCAAAGGUUAGGCCUACAAAUGUCACACCAAUUUUACACGUCACCACGAAUAAAGUCACAAAGUGAACAAUGACAAAUGUUUGAAUGUCUAGAAGCUUCUCAAGUGUCCAUGUCAUUAAAAUAAUAAUUUUUUUUAUAUAAAGUUCAGUCCAAGUGUUUGGCUUAAAUCAAGAACACCAUGGUUCACUUUCCGGUGUUAAUGAUCAAAGUUUAAAUGUUCAGGUUUGUGUAUGGUUUCAAAUGAUCAAGUUAAAGUCCCUGUUCACUUUAAAACCACAAACAAUCUCAAAUGUUCAACAUAUAAUCAUAUAACAAUAAUUUUGUGUGUGUGUGUGUGUGUGUGUGUGUGUGUGUGUGUGUGUGUGUGUGUGUGUGUGUGUGUGUGUGUGUGUGUGUGUGUGUGUGUGUGUGUGUGUGUGAGUGAGUGAGUGAGUGAGUGAGUGAGAGUUAAAGGCAGGAAAGUUUGUGAAUGUCGCACGCUGGUUCACGGAGAGUUUGCAUGUACCAGUUUGGUGACUGUGGGCAAUACUGCAAGACACGGAGCGAGAGUCCAACACAAGGGAAUAAAGGAUGUCCCCCAAGAAAUUAUUGGUGUGGACUGUGGAGCCUUCAUGUUGAUGUAUAGAGAAACCCUUCAAGAGGCCCUUCCAAGUGGGGAACAAGCUACACUUAGCAGCAGUGAGCAUUCUCUAAUGAAGGACACAUCACAUGACAGAAGAUGUGAAAUGGCUCCAUUCCAACAGACAUUUACUCAGGUGCCCAGUGGAAGAGCCUCUUUUCCUUACAAUGGAUGAAGAGGACAAGGAAAAGGCCCUCAACAAUCUCCUGGAAUGAUCAGAAGCUUCCAAAGAGCCCUUCACAUUUAAUUUUGUGUCAGGGAGUUAUUUUUGCAGGAAUGUCAUCACAAAAUGGGCCUAAGAGUGAAUUUGACUAUUUUUAAUUAUUUGUAAAGUUUGAUUGUUUCUUUUAACAUUAUGUUGCUAUUUUAUAUAUAUAGCAACAUUAUAUUUAUAUAUAUAUAUAUAUAGGCCUAUAUAUAUAUAUAUAUAUAUAUUAGUUGUAUUGUAGUUAUAUUUUUAUUGAAAUGUUUUAGUUUUCAUAUAGAUAAGUGUAUGUUGCACAUGUUCUUGACUUUGGAAUAAAUGUUUAUUAUAAUGAUAACAUCAUACAAUUAUAUUACACAAGCUUUAUGUUUUAAAAUGCUCAUUGUACUGUACCUUACUGUA